rnacentral:RNase_P_RNA from 1 species
CUGGUGAGCCGCUUUGGCUUGCUGGAGGAAAGUCCGAACACCAUACGGCAGCAUGCCGCGUAGAAGACGCGGGCGCCGCACUUGCAAAAUUGCGGUGACGGAGAGUGUCACAGAAAAGACACCGCCGGUUCUUUGGAAAACAAGGGCACAGGCAAGGGUGAAAAGGCGAGGUAAGAGCUCACCGCUCGCGAAGUAAUUCGCUAGGCAUGAAAAACCCCAUGCGGUGCAAGACAAAACAGAGGGAGGGCAGCCGGCCCGUUGAUCCUCGGGUAUCGUCGCAUC